GACGAACGCUGGCGGCGUGCUUAACACAUGCAAGUCGAACGAAAAGGUCCUGCUCUUGUUGGUUGCUCGAUUGGCGAACGGGUGAGUAACACGUGAGUAACCCGCCCCUGACUUUGGGAGAACUUCAGGAAACAGGGGCUCAUAUCGCAUAGGACCUCUUGCUCCAUGGUGUUGGUUGGAAAGGUUCGGCGGUUGGGGAUGGAAUCGCGGCUUAUCAGCUGAUUGGUGGGGUUGUGGCUUACCAAGGCUUUGACGGGUAGCCGGCCUGAGAGGGUGACAGGCCACAGUGGAACUGAGAUACGGCCCAGACUGCUACGGGAGGCAGCAGUGGGGAAUAUUGCACAAUGGACGGAAGCAUGAUGAAGCAACGCAGCGUGCGGGAUGACGGCCUUCGGGUUGUAAACCGCUUUCGCCUGUGACGAAGCGUGAGUGACGGUAAUGGGUAAAGCAGCACCGGCUAACUACGUG
rnacentral:rRNA from 1 species